UACCAGACUAGAGGACGGUAGAGAGAGGUGGAAUUCCCGGUGUAGUAGUGAAAUGCGUAGAUAUCGGGAGGAACACCAGUGGCGAAAGCGGCCUCCUGGACCGUUCCUGACGCUCAGACGCGAAAGCUAGGGGAGCAAACGGGAUUAGAAACCCCGGUAGUCCUAGCUGUAAACGAUGUAGACUUGGCGUCGGUGGGGUAAAAUCCAUCGGUGCCGAAGCUAACGCGAUAAGUCUACCGCCUGGGGACUACGAUCGCAAGGUUAAAACUCAAAGGAAUUGACGGGUCCCCGCACAAGCAGCGGAGCGUGUGGUUUAAUUCGUUGCUACGCGAAAAACCUUACCCAGGUUUGACAUAUAGGUGGUAGGAAGCCGAGAGGUGACCGACCCUUCGGGGAGCCUAUACAGGUGCUGCAUGGCUGUCGUCAGCUCGUGUCGUGAGAUGUCCGGUUAAGUCCGGCAACGAGCGCAACCCUCGUCGUAUGUUACAUGUGUCAUACGAGACCGCUGGUAUAAAGCCGGAGGUAGGUGAGGAUGACGUCAAGUCAGCAUGGCCUUUAUAUCUGGGGCUACACACACGCUACAAUGGUCGGUACAAUGGGUCGCAAAGCCGCAAGGUAGAGCCAAUCCCCAAAGCCGGCCUCAGUUCAGAUUGUAGGCUGCAACCCGCCUACAUGAAGUCGGAGUUGCUAGUAAACGCGCGUCAGCAUUAGUGCGUUGAAUACGUUCCCGGGGAUUGUACACACCGCCCGU
rnacentral:rRNA from 1 species